rnacentral:lncRNA from 1 species
AAGUCCUCCAAGAGCAUCUAACAACCCUGAGUGGUUAUGUAUGAUACGUUGGAAAAAUCAGACUAGCUCUCUGCUGCCACCUGGUGUUUAAUGUAUGACAACAGUUUGUGACAGAACUGCUGGCCCAUGUUGACUCCAAUCCUUCCCACAGUUGUGUCAAUUGGCUGGAUUCCUUUGGGGGGGGGGGGUCCAUUCUCUGAUACAAACAGGAAACUGUUGAGCGUGAAAAACUAGCGACGUUGCAGUUUUUGACACAAAACCGGUGCGCCUGGCAUCUACUACCAUUCUCUGUUCAAAGACACUUACAUCUUUUGUCUUGUCCAUUCACCCUCUGAAUGGCACACAUACACAAUCCAUGUCUCAAUUAUCUCAAGGCUUUAAAAAUCCUUCUUUACCCCGCCAUGUGGACCCUCCAUGCCCAGGGACUUGACCAGACACCCCGAUGAUGGCUGAAACUGGUCAAAGGUGUGCUUCCCAUUAUACCUGCCGUUCCACUCUGACCUAUGGGGUUCAGAGGUCACAGGGCUAGGGUCAGAUGAGGGGUCAAAGGGUCAUGUGACUCGUUGUUAAGGAUUAUGUUUAUAAUAUUAUAAUAUGAUAUUAUGUUAGCUGCAUGAUGGUCUGCAUGAUGGUCUAGCAGCACUUCUCCAAGGUCACGCAACCUUUCAACUCAGUCCCAGAGACACGCUACCCUUCAACUCAGUCCCAAAGACACGCUACCCUUCAACUCAGUCCAAAGACAAGCUACCCUCCAACUCAGCCAGAACACGCUACCCUUCAACUCAGCCAAAGACACGCUACCCUUCAACUCAGUCCCAAAGACACGCUACCCUUCAACUCAGUCCCAAAGACACGCUACUCUUCAACUCAGUCCCAAAGACAAGCUACCCUCCAACUCAGUCCCAGAGACACGCUACCCUUCAACUCAGUCCCAAAGACACGCUACCCUCCAACUCCAGUCCAGAGACACGCUACCCUUCAACUCAGUCCCAAAGACACGCUACCCUUCAACUCAGUCCAAGGACAAGCUACCCUUCAACUCAGUCCCAAGGUCACGCUACUCCCUCCAACUCAGUCCCAAAGACACGCUACUCAACCCUCCAACUCAGUCCCAAAGACACGCUACCCUUCAACUCAGUCCCAAAGACACGCUACCCUUCAACUCAGUCCCAAGAACACGCUACCCUUCAACUCAGUCCCAAGGACACGCUACCCUCCAACUCAGUCCCAAGGACACGCUACCCUCCAACUCAGUCCCAAGGAAAAGCCUAGCAACGUUGCAGUUCUUGACACAAACCGGUGCGCUGGGCAUCUACUACCAUUCUCUGCUCAAAGACACUUAAAUCUUUUGUCUUGCCCAUUCCGCCCUCUGAAUGGCACCCAGACACAAUCCAUGUCUCAAUUAUCUCAAGGCUUAAAAAUCCUUCUUCAACCAGGUCUCCUCCCCUUCAUCUACACUGAUUUGAAGUGGAUUUAA